rnacentral:lncRNA from 1 species
AUCAAUUCACCGAGCCCACGUGCCCUUUUAGAUGCCUUGGCCCACGUGCAUUCUCUUAGGUGCUAUCUCACCAAAGUGAUGCAUCAAUUCACCGAGCCCACGUGUCUUUUUAGAUGCCAAACUCUGUCACCGAGCCACGUGCAUUCUCCAGGACGACAUACCGAGUCUCCGAGCCACGUGCAUUCUCUCAGGCGACCUUUUCGCCAAGGUGACAUAUUCAACCACUGAACUCACGUGCAUUCUCUAGGUGACAUUCCAAUUCACCGAGCCACGUGUCCUCUUUCAAGAGAUUACCAAUCUUCUUUCAAUACCGACAACCAAUGCUCAACGAUUUCUCAAUCAAAUAAUUAAAUCAACUCAACAAAGCAUUAUAAAUGCUGAAUAACAUACUUGGCCAAUCACCAAUCAAUAAUUCAAUCUCAAUCGAUUCCAAUCAAUUUAGGGUAAAUCCCUAAAAUAUCACAAUUUAUUCAAUUCCAUACAACGUAGAGCUCAAAUAAAUAAACGGACUGCGCCACGACAAUCAGCACGAGAUUUCGGUAGUCGGCCAUCAACAUCUUAAUUUCUGAAAAAUAAUUAAUUAAAUAAUUAAUUUCGAAAAUUAAAUAAUUAAUAUUAAAAAUUCAAUUUAGCUCAAAAUAAAGCCCGAUUAAAUAAACGGACUUCACCACGGUCAUCAGCACAAUAUUCCGGUCCCGGGCCAUCUCAGUUGAAUUUUCAGAAAAUAAAUAAUUAUUUAAUUUAAUUCCGAAAAUUAAUAUUUAAAUACUAAAAAAAUCCACUUAGGCCCGAAAAGCCUAAUUGGAGCCCACUAAGGGUCGGGAAAAAAUCCCGAGGCACUUCCAAUAAUUAGUAGACCACGUCUACUUGUUAAUUGCGCAAUCAAUUUAUCUAAAUCACAUCACAAUUGACUAAUAAUUGCUAAUUUAUUCUAAUCUAACAACCUAAACAUAAUUAAUUAAAUCUAAACCAACCUUAAGCAUAAUUAGCCAACUAAUCCAGGAUUAGUGAGAUUACUCACCAAAUCGCGCGCAAAUCGGAUCAAUCCGACGGCGGCGACGCGAGGAACGAUUGUUCCCAAAGCGACUCACGGAUCCGGGGCCCGGAAACGGCCCAAAAGCGGGCCUAAAGCCGCUGGAAACCCAUUUCGUGGGUUGCUGGACGGGGCUGAUCGGGGCUGCUCCGGCGGCGGUGCGGAACAGGGGCGAAACAGAGCUGGGCCGAGCGGGAGAGGGACGCCUGGGCGCGCGCGGACGGCGGGACGGUGGCGGGCGCAUGGGCGGUCCGGCUCCGGUGCGGUGGCGAGACGGGCGGCAACGGUGGCUGGCUGCCGCUUUCGAUCUUCUUCAGCUUCUGGUUCGCUCCUUCCACGAAGAAGAAAGAAGGAGAAGAAGAAAGAGUUCGGUCACGUGGGGUGGGGAGAAGAGAGAGGAGAGAGAAGAAGAGAUAAGAGAGAGGAGUUUUGAC